AUACCUUUCUCGGCCUUUUGGCUAAGAUCAAGUGUAGUAUCUGUUUUUAUCAGUUUAAUAUAUGAUACGUGGGUCAUCGACUUAUUAUGAUAUUAAAUUAAUUUCUUGUGGGGGAGGGUUCAUCGUGCGUUGCACUACUGCACGGGCCUGGCGUGCCUCAA
rnacentral:snRNA from 1 species